CAGCAGCCGCGGUAAAACGAAGGGGGCUAGCGUUGUUCGGAAUUACUGGGCGUAAAGCGCACGUAGGCGGAUAUUUAAGUCAGGGGUGAAAUCCCGCAGCUCAACUGCGGAACUGCCUUUGAUACUGGGUAUCUUGAGUAUGGAAGAGGUUAGUGGAAUUGCGAGUGUAGAGGUGAAAUUCGUAGAUAUUCGCAGGAACACCAGUGGCGAAGGCGGCUAACUGGUCCAUAACUGACGCUGAGGUGCGAAAGCGUGGGAGCAAACAGGAUUAGAUACCCGUGUAGUCCCUGUCUCUUAUACA
rnacentral:rRNA from 1 species